rnacentral:rRNA from 1 species
GAUGAACGCUGGCGGCGUGCCUAAUACAUGCAAGUCGAGCGAAGCGGGGACGGGUGAGUAACACGUGGAUAACAUCCUAUAAGACUGGAUAACUACGGGAAACCGGAGCUAAACCGGAUCCUUAUAGAUGGAUCCGCGCUGCAUUAGCUAGUUGGUAAGGUAACGGCUUACAAAGGCAACGAUGCAUCGCCGACCUGAGAGGGUGACGGGCCCAACUGGAACUGAGACACGGUCCAGACGCCUACGGGGGGCAGCAGUAGGGAAUCUUCCGCAAGGGGCGAAAGCCUGACGGAGAAACGCCGCGUGAGUGAUGAAGGUUUUCGGAUCGUAAACCUCUGUUAUUAGGAAAGCGGUACCUAAUCAGAAAGCCACGGCUAACUCCGUGCCAGCCGCCGCGGUAAUAC